GUYAUAUUCCUCCCUGUGGUCAGGGCUGAGGUCUCUGUCCUUGCAGUUUCAUGCCCUUCUGAUUCCAGUUGGUGAAACAAGCUUGGAGUUAGAGUGCCUUCUCCUCAGAAGGAGAUUUGUGUCCUUUUCCACCUUAGGGGUUUUGAUUUUGUACCUUAGGGUUCAAUGAUUUGAAAUGAAUGUCCUGUGAUUUAGGAGAUAGUCCCUUUGCCUCUUGAAAUACUAUGCCACUAUGAAAUACUGUGGCCAGGGUCCCUCUCCUUCCCCCUUAGUUUCAGACUUUCCUAGAAUGCCAGCUGGUUUUAUCUGAAGUAACUAGUUUCUACUUAAAAGAAGUGUCCCUGAGAAUAUGACUUGAAUCAUAAGUCUCCCAAUUCUGUAAUAAUUUGCUUGUUUUCUUAACCAUUUUCUUGCUAGAAACUGAGGCCCAAUCACAUAUGUGUGACAGAAAGACAUGAACCACAAUGCUGUGUACUUGCAAAUCACUUUUCUUGAAGAGCUAUUUCCUCCUGACAGAGCAAAUUGAUAACAGAAAGGAAGAGAUUGAUUUGUAUCUCACAGAAGAUGAAAGCUCAUUCAAAGCCAGUUUAAAGGUGGCACAUUACAAACAUGGUUAUGAGUCUGUAUCAUUCACUUGUUGUUAAUGAAGAUACUUUUUUCUGAUUUGCUAGAAUUUUAAUAAGUCAUCUUUGAAAAAUCCAGACACUGUUUUGCACUCC
ensembl:lncRNA